rnacentral:rRNA from 1 species
AGAAUCAACGCUGGCGGCGUGCCUAACACAUGCAAGUCGAACGAGAAAGUGGAGCAAUCCAUUAGUAAAGUGGCGCACGGGUGAGUAACACGUGACUAACCUACCCUUGAGUGGGGGAUAACCUAGAGAAAUCUGGGCUAAUACCGCAUAAUACCUUCGGGUCAAAGGAGCAAUUCGCUUAAGGAGGGGGUCGCGGCCGAUUAGUUAGUUGGCGGGGUAAUGGCCCACCAAGACUAUGAUCGGUAUCCGGCCUGAGAGGGCGCACGGACACACUGGAACUGAAACACGGUCCAGACUCCUACGGGAGGCAGCAGUGGGAAUUUGCGCAAUGGGGGAAACCCUGACGCAGCAACGCCGCGUGGAGGAUGAAGCCCCUUGGGGCGUAAACUCCUUUCGAUCGGGACGAUAAUGACGGUACCGAGAGAAGAAGCCCCGGCUAACUUCGCGCCAGCAGCCGC